rnacentral:rRNA from 1 species
CACUCCUGCGGGAGGCAGCAGUGGGGAAUUUUGGACAAUGGGCGAAAGCCUGAUCCAGCAAUGCCGCGUGAGUGAAGAAGGCCUUCGGGUUGUAAAGCUCUUUUGUCAGGGAAGAAACGGUGAAAGCUAAUAUCUUUUGCUAAUGACGGUACCUGAAGAAUAAGCACCGGCUAACUACGUGCCAGCAGCCGCGGUAAUACGUAGGGUGCAAGCGUUAAUCGGAAUUACUGGGCGUAAAGCGUGCGCAGGCGGUUUUGUAAGUCUGAUGUGAAAUCCCCGGGCUCAACCUGGGAAUUGCAUUGGAGACUGCAAGGCUAGAAUCUGGCAGAGGGGGGUAGAAUUCCACGUGUAGCAGUGAAAUGCGUAGAUAUGUGGAGGAACACCGAUGGCGAAGGCAGCCCCCUGGGUCAAGAUUGACGCUCAUGCACGAAAGCGUGGGGAGCAAACAGGAUUAGAUACCCUUGUAGUCCCA